GAUCCGUUAGCUCAGCUGGGAGAGCGCUACCUUGACAGGGUAGAGGUCGGCGGUUCGAUCCCGUCACGGGUCACCA
rnacentral:tRNA from 1 species